GGUUGGACAGGCGAAAGUCUGUUUUCAAGAAAAAUAUGUUUCCUGGGUGGGAAGCU
rnacentral:ncRNA from 12 species